GACGAACGCUGGCGGCGUGCUUAACACAUGCAAGUCGAACGAUGAACCCGGAGCUUGCUCCGGCGGAUUAGUGGCGAACGGGUGAGUAACACGUGAGUAACCUGCCCUUGACUCUGGGAUAACUGCGGGAAACUGUAGCUAAUACCGGAUACGACCCUCGGCGGCAUCGCCAGGGGGUGGAAAGAAUUUCGGUCAAGGAUGGACUCGCGGCCUAUCAGCUAGUUGGUGAGGUAACGGCUCACCAAGGCGACGACGGGUAGCCGGCCUGAGAGGGUGACCGGCCACACUGGGACUGAGACACGGCCCAGACCCCUACGGGAGGCAGCAGUGGGGAAUAUUGCACAAUGGGCGCAAGCCUGAUGCAGCAACGCCGCGUGAGGGAUGACGGCCUUCGGGUCGUAAACCUCUUUUAGUAGGGAAGAAGCGAAAGUGACGGUACCUGCAGAAAAAGCACCGGCUAACUACGUGCCAGCCGCCGCCGUAA
rnacentral:rRNA from 1 species